CACGUAGGGCGCAAGCGUUGUCCGGAAUUAUUGGGCGUAAAGAGCUCGUAGGCGGCCAGUUGCGUCUGCUGUGAAAUCCCGGGGCUCAACCCCGGGCUUGCAGUGGAUACGGGCUGGCUGGAGGCAGGCAGGGGAGAACGGAAUUCCCGGUGUAGCGGUGAAAUGCGCAGAUAUCGGGAGGAACACCGGUGGCGAAGGCGGUUCUCUGGGCCUGUACUGACGCUGAGGAGCGAAAGCGUGGGGAGCGAACAGG
rnacentral:rRNA from 1 species